rnacentral:rRNA from 1 species
AUACGUAGGUGACAAGCGUUAUCCGGAUUUACUGGGCGUAAAGAGCUCGUAGGUGGUUUGUCGCGUCGUCUGUGAAAUUCCGGGGCUUAACUCCGGGCGUGCAGGCGAUACGGGCAUAACUUGAGUACUGUAGGGGAGACUGGAAUUCCUGGUGUAGCGGUGAAAUGCGCAGAUAUCAGGGGGAACACCGGGGGCGAAGGCGGGUCUCUGGGCAGUAACUGACGCUGAGGAGCGAAAGCAGGGGUAGCGAACAGGAUUAGAUACCAUGGUAGUCCAUGCCGUAAACGGUGGGCGCUAGGUGUAGGGGUCUUCCACGACUUCUGUGCCGUAGCUAACGCAUUAAGCGCCCCGCCUGGGGAGUACGGCCGCAAGGCUAAAACUUAAAGGAAUUGACGGGG